UACGGAGGGUGCAAGCGUUGUCCGGAAUCACUGGGCGUAAAGGGCGCGUAGGCGGCCCGGUAAGUAGGGGGUGAAAUCCUGCGGCUUAACCGCAGGGCUGCCUUCUAAACUGUCGGGCUCGAGCACGGUAGAGGCAGAUGGAAUUCCGGGUGUAGCGGUGGAAUGCGUAGAGAUCCGGAAGAACACCGGUGGCGAAGGCGGUCUGCUGGGCAGUUGCUGACACUGAGGCGCGACAGCGUGGGGAGCAAACAGG
rnacentral:rRNA from 1 species